CACGAAUUUCCCCUCCCAAGAUUUUAGUGUGGCUGCUAAUUCGCCCGCCAGUUUUCCGUAAUUGCUUUUGGAAUAGUGCGCUUGGUGAGCCCGAGUAAGGGGACGUUGUCUGUCCUCCAGUCUAAGUUGAAGGUGGCCCGUAGUGCUGUCAUGACAUCCCUGUGUAGGCCCACUCCCAAGGCCUGUUGCUCGCUUAGUCUAGUGGCUAAAAGUCGGCUCGCUUUGUUGCCCUGAGUAUAGCUUGUGGCCUUCAGUUUUUGAAGGUAGAAUUUAGUUUGUUCUAGUGAGUGUUGGUGGAUUUUCCUGGUGAGAUGCAUAAUUU